rnacentral:rRNA from 1 species
UACGUAGGGGGCUAGCGUUGUCCGGAAUCAUUGGGCGUAAAGCGCGCGUAGGCGGCCCGGUAAGUCCGUUGUGAAAGUCAAAGGCUCAACCUUUGAAAGCCGAUGGAUACUGGCGGGCUGGAGUCCGGAAGAGGCGAGUGGAAUUCCUGGUGUAGCGGUGGAAUGCGCAGAUAUCAGGAGGAACACCAAUAGCGAAGGCAGCUCGCUGGGACGGUACUGACGCUGAGGCGCGAAAGCGUGGGGAGCGAACAGG